AACGAACGCUGGCGGCAUGCCUAACACAUGCAAGUCGAACGAGACCUUCGGGUCUAGUGGCGCACGGGUGCGUAACGCGUGGGAACCUGCCCUUAGGUUCGGAAUAACUCCCCGAAAGGGGUGCUAAUACCGGAUAAUGUCUUCGGACCAAAGAUUUAUCGCCUUUGGAUGGGCACGCGUUGGAUUAGCUAGUUGGUAGGGUAAAAGCCUAACAAGGCGACGAUCCAUAGCUGGUCUGAGAGGAUGAGCAGCCACACUGGGACUGAGACACGGCCCAGACUCCUACGGGAUGCAGCAGUGGGGAAUAUUGGACAAUGGGCGAAAGCCUGAUCCAGCAAUGCCGCGUAAGUGAUGAAGGCCUUAAAGUUGUAAAGCUCUUUUACCCGGGAUGAUAAUGACAGUACCGGGAGAAUAAGCUCCGGCUAACUCCGUG
rnacentral:rRNA from 1 species